CCUCCCAAGUUCGUAAAGAGCUUGGAGCGGUAGAAUAAAGUUCUAUCCAAAAUCCUUUGAAUUGCUGGAAGUCCUUAAAGUUAGCUAAACCACAAAGUAAGUAUGAAAUAGACUAAGCUUGAAGGUUGCGAAAGCAGAAAAAAUUAGCUAAAUGGCACAGGGUUAAAUCCUAAAUGCUAAAUAACAAUAGGUAAUCAGCAGCGAAGCUCCGAAAAGGAGAACGUUCAACGACUAUCCCGUCAGGGAGUACACUGAAGUCAGUGGAAGUGGAGGACACCUAAGUUUGCGGUUAAGAACCAAAUUCUUAUCUGUAACAGGCGAUGAUAUAGUCUACGCUCUUAUGAAAGUAUGAG
rnacentral:ncRNA from 1 species